rnacentral:tRNA from 1 species
CCGCACCCACCAGGAGCGCCAGUACCCGGGCCACGUGUCCGGCACGCAGCUGAAGAACCCGGACUUCGCGGGCAUGGCGCGUGCGUUCCACGGCUUCGGGGUGCGCGUGGAGCGGGAGUCUGAGAUUCCCGGGGCCCUCGAGGAGGCGUUAAGCGCCAUCGACGAGGACCACACGUUCGCCCUCGUCCACCUGGUGGUGCAGCAGCGCCAGAAGGCAUACUGAGCCGCGUAUAAACGCUGGUCAAAGCGCACUUCCUAGAGCGGACGGCGCCGCGGUGCCCCUCCCCGGGGGGCGGUCACCGCGGCGUCGUCGC